GACGAACGCUGGCGGCGUGCCUAAUACAUGCAAGUCGAGCGGACCAAAGGGAGCUUGCUCCUGGAGGUUAGCGGCGAACGGGUGAGUAACACGUGGGCAACCUGCCUGUAAGACUGGGAUAACAUCGAGAAAUCGGUGCUAAUACCGGAUAAUAAAAAGAACUGCAUGGUUCUUUUUUGAAAGAUGGUUUCGGCUAUCACUUACAGAUGGGCCCGCGGCGCAUUAGCUAGUUGGUGAGGUAACGGCUCACCAAGGCGACGAUGCGUAGCCGACCUGAGAGGGUGAUCGGCCACACUGGGACUGAGACACGGCCCAGACUCCUACGGGAGGCAGCAGUAGGGAAUCUUCCGCAAUGGACGAAAGUCUGACGGAGCAACGCCGCGUGAGUGAUGAAGGUUUUCGGAUCGUAAAACUCUGUUGUUAGGGAAGAACAAGUGCCGUUCGAAAGGGCGGCACCUUGACGGUAUCUAACGAGAAAGCCACGGCUAACUACGUGCCAGCAGCCGACGG
rnacentral:rRNA from 1 species